GACGAACGCUGGCGGCGUGCCUAACACAUGCAAGUCGAGCGGGGACUUGGGAGCUUGCUUCCAAGUUCUAGCGGCGGACGGGUGAGUAACGCGUGAGCAACCUGCCUCAAACAGGGGGAUAACGCAUCGAAAGAUGUGCUAAUACCGCGUAAGACCACAGUGCCACAUGGCACAGGGGUCAAAGGAGCAAUCCGGUUUGAGAUGGGCUCGCGUCCGAUUAGCUAGUUGGUGAGAUAACGGCCCACCAAGGCGACGAUCGGUAGCCGACCUGAGAGGGUGAUCGGCCACAUUGGAACUGAGAAACGGUCCAGACUCCUACGGGAGGCAGCAGUGGGGAAUAUUGGGCAAUGGGCGAAAGCCUGACCCAGCAACGCCGCGUGAGGGAAGAAGGGUUUCGGCUCGUAAACCUCUGUCCUAUGGGACGAAGGAAGUGACGGUACCAUAGGAGGAAGCCCCGGCUAACUACGUGCCAGCAGCCGCGGUAAUACGUAGGGGGCGAGCGUUGUCCGGAAUGAUUGGGCGUAAAGGGCGCGUAGGCGGCCUGCUAAGUCUGGAGUGAAAGUCCUGCUUUCAAGGUGGGAAUUGCUUUGGAUACUGGUGGGCUGGAGUGCAGGAGAGGAAAGCGGAAUUACCGGUGUAGCGGUGAAAUGCGUAGAGAUCGGUAGGAACACCAGUGGCGAAGGCGGCUUUCUGGACUGAAACUGACGCUGAGGCGCGAAAGCGUGG
rnacentral:rRNA from 1 species